rnacentral:lncRNA from 1 species
AGGUAACAAUUUAAAACCUAUUUCAUCAAAUCCUUUCUAUAAGGUAAUUCCCAAAACCUAAUUUAUUCUUUAUGUUUUAUAUUCCAUUAUUUAGCUAAUCAAUUAGCUAAAUAAUAUAUUCCUUUCAUAUUUCCUAAAAAUUGACUAAUUAACAGAUUAAUUACCUAAUCAAUCCCUUAAUUAUCAAUUAAAACACCCAUUCAAACCUAAAACUACUCAAAGGCCGGCUAUCCCCAUUCAAAACCUAAUCCAUCACUUUUUUCUACUUUU